AAUGAACGCUGGCGGCGCGCCUAAUACAUGCAAGUCGAGCGAGAAGACGUAGCAAUACGUUUGUAAAGCGGCGAACGGGUGAGGAAUACAUGGGUAACCUACCCUCGAGUGGGGAAUAACUAGCCGAAAGGUUAGCUAAUACCGCGUACGCUCCUUGGACUUCGGUUCAGGGAGGAAAGCGAUACCGUGGGUAUCGCGCUCUUGGUUGGGCUCAUGUCCUAUCAGCUUGUUGGUGAGGAACGGCUCACCAAGGCUUCGACGGGUAGCUGGUCUGAGAGGACGAUCAGCCACACUGGCACUGCGACACGGGCCAGACUCCUACGGGAGGCAGCAGUAAGGAAUAUUGCGCAAUGGGCGAAAGCCUGACGCAGCGACGCCGCGUGGGGGAGUGAAGGGUCUUCGGGA
rnacentral:rRNA from 1 species